rnacentral:lncRNA from 1 species
CUUGACCUUACUCACUCCCUUAGUCAUGGAGUCUCUACUUUUAGGUCUGCUGUGGUGGCGGGAUCCUGGGAGGUGAGCCAUUUAUCCCCCUGUGGUUCAUGACCUUUAACUGGGCUUCCCGCUUUGUUUCCGUCUCCUGUGGGGACCCUCUUGACAGAGUGGGGGUGGGGGACAGGGACAAGCCAGUGAGUCCAUCAGUGUCUAAGGGAGGCUUCCCUGCUUGGUCCAGCACGGUCCCCAUGGCCUACCCCCGGGCUCUCCCACAUCUCCUCCCGAGCCUCCUGAACGUCUCUGUCCCUGACUCACCCGUCCCACAGUGUCAGGUGCUCUCCCAGGACACGGCCCUCCUGCUGGGCCAGUGCUGCCCGUGCUCGGUGUGCAGAGUCAGACCCGGACGGCCUGCAGUGCUCAUGGCCACGGCUCUAGCAUGGAGCUCAUCUCCUGGCCACGGAGGAAGACGCAGGAAAAGUUCUGUUGAGUUCUGGAACCAGAGAAGCUUCUCUGCUCCAAGUCCCUGGUGUGCGCUCAGCACAUUUCUGGGCGUCCUGAAGAGCUGCAGGUGCAGAAAGUGCUUGGCAUCUCGUCCUGCUGCCCACCCUCUGUGGCCCCCACGGUGAGGCCCCAGCUGCAAUUAUAGGAAACCAUCGUCUGCAGGUGGAAAGAAGGUUGGUGAAGUUCACCUACUAAGCCGCCUGCUAUGAACAUUCUUGGCCACGUAAGGGACUCCACAAGGAAUUACCCGGUACCCCCUUCCCUGCAGCCGGCUCACUGGGCUCCUCCAAAGCAGGGAGCAUCUUCACAAUCUCGCCUCCACCUUCCUGGCCCUUGAGGAUUGUUCGACUGCUCAAAGAGGGCUUUCAAAAUAACCAGUCUUUUCCAUUAUUCUACUAGUCCUCUCCUCUGAGUGGUUUCUCGCUCUGCAUCCAGCAUACGUUUUUGGAAACACUGGGACAUUCACGGAAUCGUGGCAGUUAGAACUUGCAGUUAGAGGGGACCUGAUCAAACCUUCCAGCCUGGAUGGUGCUCAGGCAGAGGCGACUUUGCUUCCCUAGGGACAGGGACAGUGUUUGGAGACCUUUGGUCACUACUGGGCACAGGGGUGCAUCUGCAUCUCGUGGGUAGAAGUCGGGCUGUGGGGAAGCAUGCUACGGUGGGAAAGGAUGAGUGGUCGGAAACCCAGGUGGAGCGGCCAAAGGAACUAAGAGUCCAUUUCAACUGCAUCCCCACUGACAUGGACCCUGAGGUGACAGCUAUGUUAAUGAGCGUGACUUAAUGACUCCACACCUGGCAAGGCAGGGCUGUGCACCCGCAAAUGCAGCCAGUCCUGAUUCGUCAGUGACAAGUAAUACUCAUAAUCAGAGUAAAACAGAGUAAACCCACACAUCUCGUCAGUGAUUUUUGUCUGAUUACGUGUGGAAGUGAUAAUAUUUUGAACACACUGAACUCCAUACAGUAUAUGGUCAGAAUUCAAAGCGAAACCCUGAGGCUGCCUCUGUGCACUUGGUUUGCCUUGGUCCCCAGCCUCCUGCUCUUGGGGAGUUGAGUUUUUGGCCUCAGUGAAAUUCCUGCUGGGCUGGGGGGCUGGGGUGGAGGGGGAUGGACAG